UACGUAGGGUGCAAGCGUUACUCGGAAUUACUGGGCGUAAAGCGUGCGCAGGCGGUUAUGUAAGACAGAGGUGAAAUCCCCGGGCUCAACCUGGGAACUGCAUCUGUGACUGCAUAGCUAGAGUACGGUAGAGGGGGAUGGAAUUCCGCGUGUAGCAGUGAAAUGCGUAGAUAUGCGGAGGAACACCGAUGGCGAAGGCAAUCCCCUGGACCUGUACUGACGCUCAUGCACGAAAGCGUGGGGAGCAAACAGG
rnacentral:rRNA from 1 species